CCUACGGGAGGCAGCAGUGAGGAAUAUUGGUCAAUGGACGAGAGUCUGAUCCAGCCAAGCAGCGUGAAUGAUGACUUCUCUAUGGGUUGUAAACUUCAUUUAUAAAGGAAUAAAACGAGGCACGUGUGCCUUUUUGCAUGUACUUUAUGAAUAAGGAUCGGCUAACUCCGUGCCAGCAGCCGCGGUAAUACGGAGGGUGCAAGCGUUGUCCGGAAUCAUUGGGAGUAAAGAGUUCGUAGGCGGCAUGUAAAGUCAGGUGUGAAGGGCGAAGGCUCAACCUGUGUAUGGCACUUGAUAAUUGCAAGCUGGAGUACGGUAGAGGUAAAGGGAAUUCCUGGUGUAGCGGUGAAAUGCUUAGAUAUCAGGAGGAACAUCAGUGGCGAAAGCGCUUUACUGGGCCGUAAUUGACGCUGAGGAACGAAAGCCAGGGUAGCAAAUGGGAUUAGAUACCCCUGUAGUC
rnacentral:rRNA from 1 species